rnacentral:rRNA from 1 species
GAUGAACGCUGGCGGCGUGCCUAAUACAUGCCAGUCGAGCGAACAGAUAAGGAGCUUGCUCCUUUGACGUUAGCGGCGGACGGGUGAGUAACACGUGGGUAACCUACCUAUAAGACUGGGAUAACUUCGGGAAACCGGAGCUAAUACCGGAUAACAUUUGGAACCGCAUGGUUCUAAAGUGAAAGAUGGUUUUGCUAUCACUUAUAGAUGGACCCGCGCCGUAUUAGCUAGUUGGUAAGGUAACGGCUUACCAAGGCGACGAUACGUAGCCGACCUGAGAGGGGGAUCGGCCACACUGGAACUGAGACACGGUCCAGACUCCUACGGGAGGCAGCAGUAGGGAAUCUUCCGCAAUGGGCGAAAGCCUGACGGAGCAACGCCGCGUGAGUGAUGAAGGGUUUCGGCUCGUAAAACUCUGUUAUUAGGGAAGAACAAAUGUGUAAGUAACUGUGCACGUCUUGACGGUACCUAAUCAGAAAGCCACGGCUAACUACGUG